GAUGAACGCUGGCGGCGUGCUUAACACAUGCAAGUCGAACGGAAAGGCUCCUGCUUGCAGGGGUACUCGAGUGGCGAACGGGUGAGUAACACGUGGGUGAUCUGCCCUGCACUUCGGGAUAAGCUUGGGAAACUAGGUCUAAUACCGGAUAGGACCGCAUUUUGGAUGGUGUGGUGGAAAGUUUUUUCGGUGUGGGAUGAGCUCGCGGCCUAUCAGCUUGUUGGUGGGGUAAUGGCCUACCAAGGCGUCGACGGGUAGCCGGCCUGAGAGGGUGUACGGCCACAUUGGGACUGAGAUACGGCCCAGACUCCUACGGGAGGCAGCAGUGGGGAAUAUUGCACAAUGGGCGCAAGCCUGAUGCAGCGACGCCGCGUGGGGGAUGACGGCCUUCGGGUUGUAAACUCCUUUCGCUAGGGACGAAGAGUAAUUGACGGUACCUGGAGAAGAAGCACCGGCUAACUACGUG
rnacentral:rRNA from 1 species